rnacentral:rRNA from 1 species
UCCCUACGGGGGGCAGCAGUGAGGAAUAUUGGUCAAUGGGCUUACGCCUGAACCAGCCAAGUCGCGUGAGGGAAGACUGCCCUAUGGGUUGUAAACCUCUUUUGUCAGGGAGCAACGCCGGCUACGUGUAGCCGGACUGAGAGUACCUGAAGAAAAAGCAUCGGCUAACUCCGUGCCAGCAGCCGCGGUAAUACGGAGGAUGCGAGCGUUAUCCGGAUUUAUUGGGUUUAAAGGGUGCGUAGGCGGUUUUUUAAGUUAGUGGUU